rnacentral:rRNA from 1 species
UGGGGAAUAUUGGACAAUGGGGGCAACCCUGAUCCAGCAAUGCCGCGUGUGUGAAGAAGGUUUUCGGAUUGUAAAGCACUUUCGGCGGGGACGAUGAUGACGGUACCCGCAGAAGAAGCCCCGGCUAACUUCGUGCCAGCAGCCGCGGUAAUACGAAGGGGGCUAGCGUUGCUCGGAAUGACUGGGCGUAAAGGGCGUGUAGGCGGUUUGUACAGUCAGAUGUGAAAUCCCCG